rnacentral:rRNA from 1 species
AUGCACGCUGGCGGCGUGCCUCAUCCCUGCCAGUCGAGCGCACAGACGAGGAGCUUGCUCCUCUGAUGUUAGCGGCGGACGGGUGAGUAACACGUGGAUAACCUACCUAUAAGACUGGGAUAACUUCGGGAAACCGGAGCUAAUACCGGAUAACAUGUUGAACCGCAUGGUUCAACAGUGAAAGACGGUCUUGCUGUCACUUAUAGAUGGAUCCGCGCCGCAUUAGCUAGUUGGUAAGGUAACGGCUUACCAAGGCAACGAUGCGUAGCCGACCUGAGAGGGUGAUCGGCCACACUGGAACUGAGACACGGUCCAGACUCCUACGGGAGGCAGCAGUAGGGAAUCUUCCGCAAUGGGCGAAAGCCUGACGGAGCAACGCCGCGUGAGUGAAGAAGGUCUUCGGAUCGUAAAACUCUGUUAUUAGGGAAGAACAAAUGUGUAAGUAACUAUGCACGUCUUGACGGUACCUAAUCAGAAAGCCACGGCUAACUACGUG